rnacentral:rRNA from 1 species
AUUGAACGCUGGCGGCAUGCCUUACACAUGCAAGUCGAACGGCAGCACGGGAGCAAUCCUGGUGGCGAGUGGUGAACGGGUGAGUAAAGUAUCGGAACGUGCCCAGUCGUGGGGGAUAACGUAGCGAAAGUUACGCUAAUACCGCAUACGAUCUAUGGAUGAAAGCGGGGGAUCGCAAGACCUCGCGCGAUUGGAGCGGCCGAUAUCAGAUUAGGUAGUUGGUGGGGUAAAGGCUCACCAAGCCGACGAUCUGUAGCUGGUCUGAGAGGACGACCAGCCACACGGGGACUGAGACACGGCCCAGACUCCUACGGGAGGCAGCAGUGGGGAAUUUUGGACAAUGGGCGAAAGCCUGAUCCAGCCAUGCCGCGUGCAGGAUGAAGGCCUUCGGGUUGUAAACUGCUUUUGUACGGAACGAAAAGGUUUGGGCUAAUAAGCUGAGCUCAUGACGGUACCGUAAGAAUAAGCACCGGCUAACUACGUGCCAGCCGCCGCCGUAA